UACGGAGGGCGCAAGCGUUGCUCGGAAUUACUGGGCGUAAAGCGCGUGCAGGCGGUCGAGUAAGUCGGUUGUGAAAGCCCCAGGCUCAACCUGGGGACUGGAUCCGAAACUGCUCGGCUAGAGUCUCGGAGAGGGAGGCGGAACUCCCAGUGUAGGGGUGAAAUCCGUAGAUAUUGGGAAGAACACCGGCGGCGAAAGCGGCCUCCUGGACGAUGACUGACGCUGAGACGCGAAAGCGUGGGGAGCAAACAGG
rnacentral:rRNA from 1 species